rnacentral:lncRNA from 1 species
GGAUUUAAUUUAGAUUCAUUUUACAACUUAUCGAUUUUAGCGAGUUAUCACAUGUCGAAAUCGAGAUUUAUGUAAAUAUACAAUAUUCCAAUCACAUUGAUACAUUGAUGUCCACAACUCAUAAUAACAUACAAAGUCAUCAGUAUCAUUACACAAACUUUCUUUUUGCUCCACCAUGCUUUUCUCCCCAUUCAUACAACACCACCACUCAACACUCAAGUGCACUCCAUCGCCCCUUUGCCUUCCUAGCCUACAAGUUCAGCCAAAACACUCCCUUAAUCACUAGCAAACCAAGGGAAGUAAUUAGUCUAAGAUGCUGCCAGAAACUCCAAGGUGAGAUUUGGCUUUCAUUCAUCCGGUGCUCUGCCACUUCUAGGUAAACUUUGGCUACAUUUUUUUUUUCCAUCUUCUUCCAUGAUUUUACCUGUAUUCAUUAAACAACAACAAGUACUACCAUUUUCAGAUUCAAUCAUUUGAUACCAGUUAACACUUGAAAGAGUGAGAGAUAGAGCAGUUCAAAUUUUGCCAAACUUCAACAAGAUCCAAUCAACUUAUUUAACUCAGCAACAACGGCAAACCUCUAAUCAUUUUCUAGGUAUAUACUACUGUUUCAGUUCAUUUUCUCAACUCAUUCAAGCCACAUAUAUUGUCAUCAUAUCAUAGCAUAAUCGAUCAUCUAUGAAGUGCUUAAGGAGAUGGAACGAAUUGUAGGCAUACUUCACUAUACUUUAUAAACACAAUGAGAUUUCUUAACUUCAUAAGCAAAUGAAUCAAGAUACAAUAAGUAGAAUGAAAUAGACUUAACUUUAGAAGAGAAGAACGUUGGGCUGCACUGCGGGCCGCUGGACCUCAAGAACAGCGGCAAUGGUGCGACGAAUCAAGCAGACGCCGGCAGCGACGCCCCUAGUCGUCAACGACAGCGCUACUCGCCGACUGCACAGUGCCGGUGGUGGAUCGAAACGAUAGCAGCGGCUUCCCCAAAACGGCAACACACGAACCACGUCGGUCCAGUGGCGACGACAGUGGCGGAAGUCUCGAGCGCAGCAGCAGCGGACGCUCGGCAACGGCGUUCUGCCUUUUCUAAAACUUAGGGCUCGACGACGGAGGGAGAUUCUGAGGACGAGGGAGAUGAACGGCGCCGCUCCCAGGCGGCGAUAUCUCGCCGAAAUUUCAGGGCAGCGGAGGCGCGACUGAUUUUAUGGGAGCAAGAGGCGGCGAAUCUCCCGGCCUUCCAGUUACAGCGGCGGAGGGAUCGACGGUGGUCCAGAGAUGGUGAGAUCGACGAUUGUGGUGGCCGAUGGCUGCUACUAUUCGUCUGUCAAGGAGUCGGAUUCACUGGUCGGCGGCGGCUUUUGUCGUUGCUGUCGCCGGAAACGGACGGAGAGGGGAGAGCAGUGGGUGACGACGGCUUAUCGCAGCUGCUCCCCGGCGAGCUUCCGCAGCGGCGGAGAUUUGAGAGAGAGAGAGAGAUGGAGGGAGACGGCGGCGAUACCUAUCGUCGUUGCCAAGGAAGGAGGCCGGUCGACGGCUGUCUCGCCGGAGGAAGCCGCGGCGGCGGGACUGAUGGUUGAGUGAGAGAGGUGAAGAGAGAGCCGAGAGGCAGAGAGGGAGAGUGAGGGCUGAAGCUAUGUGUGUGUGCGUGAGAGGCGCAGAUUUGAGGGAGGAAAGGAAGAAAAGGGCUAGGGAUUGGGGAGUGGAUUUGAGUUUGGGCCAAGUGAUGGGCCGAUUUUUUUAUUUAGUUGGGCCGAAAAAUUUGGGCCUCCUAUUUAUUUUUGGGCUUUGUUAUUUAUUUUCAGUGGGCUUGAGUUGGGCUGAGUUAUUUAUUAAUUUUGGGCCGAUUUUAAAUUAGGAAUUGGGCUUCAGAAUUUAUUUAUAUGGACCGAUUUUAAUUACUGAUUGGGCCUCUGAUUUUAUUUAUAUGGGCUUUGAUUUAAUUGUUGUUUUGAUUUGUAUGGGCUUUAUUUAAUUGAGUUGGACUCUAAUUAUUUAAUUGUUUUG